GGGCGUGUGGUUUAGUGGUACGACGUCUCAUUUGCAAACAAUGUUCUCUCACUGAGGCUGUUGCAAGACAGAUGGAAGGGUUUGAAUGAUACAAUGCUCUAUGUGAAGGUCCCAGGUUCGAACCCCGGUACGUCCA
rfam:Podospora anserina genomic DNA, chromosome 5.